AUAUUUCGGAACUGAGUCUAGUUCCUUCGAUAUCAGUGUAAUCUAAUAAUCAUCCAUCCCGGUGUGGAUAUACACUCAGAGUAACAUCACACAAACAUCUUAUUCACCUGAGUACAUUACACCAACACAGCAGAUUUAAUGAUUAUUAGAUUACACUGAUAUCGAAGGAACUAGACUCGGUUCCGAAAUAU